rnacentral:lncRNA from 1 species
UUGAGUCUAUCCACUCGAAGUGGACAGCUGUCGCAUAUAUCAUGAGAUGAGCCGGCUGUGAUAACUGGGACAGCCCAUGCGUCAAGACAUUGGCCUAUUGAGAUAAUGGAGUAUGCUGGGCAGACUAUACGACAGACCAGACGCAUGCUGCUCUAUACUGUAUAUGGCUCUACUCUUAAGCAAGCGGUCCCGAUGAUAAGUUGAAGAUCUGAGGUUUCCCAUGGUUGUCGCGCUGAUUCGAGGUACUCACGGUAACUAUUGUAACAUAUGUAAUACUGCUAGAUAUCCAAAGUAGAGGCCAAAAGUAUUGGAAGGAACAUCAACCUUAGUAUUAAUUGAAAAUUCUUUGUUAGUCUGCAUAAGAUUGAAAAGGAGUCUUAGAUCAAAAACAUUAGGAGAGGAUAUACUAUGAUUUAGGUGAAAUGCAUUGACCGAUGGAGACCAAAAACACAUAGCAGCUAGAAGAAGAAACC